rnacentral:rRNA from 1 species
GUCCUCCUAUUUUCAGUUGGUUUUGGCAGCGCGAGGACUAGGGUAAUGAUUAAUAGGGAUAGUUGGGGGCAUUAAUAUUUAAUUGUCAGAGGUGAAAUUCUUGGAUUUAUGAAAGAUUAACUUCUGCGAAAGCAUCUGCCAAGGAUGUUUUCAUUAAUCAAGAACGAAAGUUAGGGGAUCGAAGACGAUCAGAUACCGUCGUAGUCUUAACCAUAAACGAUGCCGACCAGCGAUUAGGAGACGUUGAAUACAAAACACCACCAUCGGCGCGGUCGUCCUUGGCCGCGGGUUCGUCCUUCCACGGGGGCGGGGUUCCGGCGGGGGCGGCUUAGCCCGAUGGCACCCGGGU